rnacentral:RNase_MRP_RNA from 2 species
CAUGGAUUGAGACGAUGUGGAUGGGCCCUUGCUGAGUGCUGAGCUCAGGAAAGUCCCCGGGCCGAAUCUGCAGAAAUGCAGGCCUGGAAACAGGUAAAUCUUUGAGCUGGGGCUGGUUUCACACUUUCUUUCGGGAGUUUGAGGGCUGAGACAUGUGUGGAGCCUUCGCCAGUGCCGCCAAAGAAAAUUGGCCGAUUCAUACAGUCAUUCACAUGGUCCUUGCGACUAACAGAACGGGGCUUAUGUCUCCAAUCCAA